AUUUAUAUAGUUUAAAAAAAANCCUUACAUUUUCAUUGUAAAAUUAAAAAUUAUUUUUUAUAAAUA
rnacentral:tRNA from 1 species